CCUUGUAUUGGGGGACAACAGUUGGAAACGACUGCUAAUACCGCAUAAGCGCACAGCUUCGCAUGAAGCAGUGUGAAAAACUCCGGUGGUACAAGAUGGACCCGCGUCUGAUUAGCUGGUUGGUGAGGUAACGGCCCACCAAGGCAACGAUCAGUAGCCGGCCUGAGAGGGUGAACGGCCACAUUGGGACUGAGACACGGCCCAAACUCCUACGGGAGGCAGCAUG
rnacentral:rRNA from 1 species